rnacentral:misc_RNA from 1 species
GAUGAAGAACGCAGCGAAAUGCGAUAAGUAAUGUGAAUUGCAGAAUUCAGUGAAUCAUCGAGUUUUUGAACGCAUAUUGCGCCCCUUGGUAUUCCGAGGGGCAUGCCUGUUCGAGCGUCAUUAUAACCCCUCAAGCUCAGCUUGGUGUUGGGGCCUGCCGCACGGGCAGCCCUUAAAAUCAGUGGCGGUGCUAUCUGGCUCUAAGCGUAGUAAUUCUUCUCGCUAUAGAGUCCCGGUGGAUGCUUGCCAUUAACCCCCAAUUUUCUAUGGUUGACCUCGGAUCAGGUAGGGAUACCCGCUGAACUUAAGCAUAUCAAUAAGCGGAGGA